GAUGAACGCUGGCGGCGUGCCUAAUACAUGCAAGUCGAGCGAACUGAUUAGAAGCUUGCUUCUAUGACGUUAGCGGCGGACGGGUGAGUAACACGUGGGCAACCUGCCUGUAAGACUGGGAUAACUUCGGGAAACCGAAGCUAAUACCGGAUAGGAUCUUCUCCUUCAUGGGAGAUGAUUGAAAGAUGGUUUCGGCUAUCACUUACAGAUGGGCCCGCGGUGCAUUAGCGAGUUGGUGAGGUAACGGCUCACCAAGGCAACGAUGCAUAGCCGACCGGCGAGGGGGAUCGGCCACCCGGGGACUGAGACACGGCCCAGACUCCUACGGGAGGCAGCAGUAGGGGAUCUUCCGCAAUGGACGAAAGUCUGACGGAGCAACGCCGCGUGAGUGAUGAAGGCUUUCGGGUCGUAAAACUCUGUUGUUAGGGAAGAACAAGUACGAGAGUAACUGCUCGUACCUUGACGGUACCUAACCAGAAAGCCACGGCUAACUACGUGCCAGCCGCCGCCGUAAAAC
rnacentral:rRNA from 1 species